rnacentral:rRNA from 1 species
GACGAACGCUGGCGGCGUGCCUAAUACAUGCAAGUCGAGCGGACGAAUCGAAAGCUUGCUUUUGUAUCGUUAGCGGCGGACGGGUGAGUAACACGUGGGCAACCUGCUCUGUAGACGGGGAUAACACCGAGAAAUCGGUGCUAAUACCGGAUAACACGAAAUGUCGCAUGACGUUUCGUUGAAUGACGGCGCAAGCUGCCGCUACAGGAUGGGCCGGGGGCGCAGUAGCUAGUUGGUGAGGUAACGGCACACCAAGGCGACGAUCCGUAGCUGGUCUGAGAGGAUGAGCAGCCACACUGGAACUGAGACACGGUCCAGACUCCUACGGGAGGCAGCAGUGGGGAAUAUUGGACAAUGGGCGAAAGCCUGAUCCAGCCAUACCGCGUGGGUGAAGAAGGCCUUCGGGUUGUAAAGCCCUUUUGUUGGGAAAGAAAAGCAGCAGGUUAAUAACCCGCUGUUCUGACGGUACCCAAAGAAUAAGCACCGGCUAACUUCGUG